AAUGACGCUACGCUGCUUACACCCUGCAGUCUGAACGGCAGCGGGGGAGCUUGCUCCCGCCGGCGAGUGGCGAACGGGUGAGUAAUACAUCGGAACGUACCCAGUAGCGGGGGAUAGCCCGGCGAAAGCCGGAUUAAUACCGCAUACGCCCUACGGGGGAAAGGGGGGGAUCGCAAGACCUCUCACUAUUGGAGCGGCCGAUGGCUGAUUAGCUAGUUGGUGGGGUAAAGGCCUACCAAGGCGACGAUCAGUAGCUGGUCUGAGAGGACGACCAGCCACACUGGGACUGAGACACGGCCCAGACUCCUACGGGAGGCAGCAGUGGGGAAUUUUGGACAAUGGGCGAAAGCCUGAUCCAGCAAUGCCGCGUGUGCGAAGAAGGCCUUCGGGUUGUAAAGCACUUUUGUCAGGGAAGAAAUCGUUUGGGUUAAUACCCCGAGCAGUUGACGGUACCUGAAGAAUAAGCACCGGCUAACUACGUGCCAGCAGCCGCGGUAAUACGUAGGGUGCAAGCGUUAAUCGGAAUUACUGGGCGUAAAGCGUGCGCAGGUGGUUUGUUAAGACAGUUGUGAAAUCCCCGGGCUUAACCUGGGAACUGCAAUUGUGACUGGCAGACUAGAGUGAGGCAGAGGGGGGCGGAAUUCCUGGUGUAGCAGUGAAAUGCGUAGAUAUCAGGAGGAACACCG
rnacentral:rRNA from 1 species